UGUGUCUGCAUUUGGGUCUCACCUUGUGUCGUUAUAGUUUGUCUGUUGCCAGUUCAUUUUGUUCGUCAAGCCUACCAGCAUUUUUCCCCUUGCUCCAGUCUUUUUCUAGUUCCUGUUUUCUAGUUUGCCCAGUUUUUUCUGCCUGCCCUGACCCCAAGAUUGCUUGCCGUUCUGUACCUUAUGGACUCUGAUCUGGAUUAUUGACCUCCUCCUGCCCUUGACCUGUAGUUUUGCAUGCCGCCUGUUCUAGUAAUAAACUUCUGUUACUUCGGCAAUGUCUGCAUCUGAGUCUUCUCCUGAAACGUGAUAAUUUCUUUGAAGUCCAGGUUCCUGCUCUUUAGGCCAAAUGCAGAUGACUUCAGGCCUGGGAUAUUCCAGGAUGGGAUAGAGUGUCCAAUGUUGUUAGUCGUGUGGUUUGGUCUCAGACCACUGUCGAUGCUUUUGGGACGUCUACUCAGCCCUCUCCCAGUAUCCAGCAUGCUUUGGGCUGCCACAAGACCUUUGCUCCAUCUCCUCGCUUCAGAUGGAGAAGAGUAAAGAGGAGAAAGAAGAGAAGAAGCAGGCCAGUCUCUGAGGGGGUGUCAGGAGGACUCCGUGGCCCCAUCCUCACCCCAAGGCCCAACACCAAGCCUAGGCUGAAAUAAGAGACCCCAGCCUAGGGAGGAGAGCCAGGGAUCCCAUGUCCCCCCAUGGCAGCUGCGUGUGGUGUGUGACAACAUGCUGCAGGGUCUGGGGCGCUACCUGCACUGUCUUGGGGUCAACGUGCUGCUACUGCAGAAUUCUGACGACCACAGGGUGGCUGCACAAGAGGGAUAGAGGAGGAGACUGCUGGGAACCGACAGGACAGACAGCCCAGCCACAGAGAGGAGAAGAGGCCAAGAGGAGGAUGGGGGAGAGGGAGAUGGAUGUAGAGCAGAGCAAGGACGUGAAAUAUGCCCGAUAGAGCGUACCGAAAGAGAUUGAUAGAGAAAAGAGAGGAUGAAAUGGAAGAGCUGGAUUUGAACCAGGGACUGUAGUGACGCCUCUUGCACUGAAUAGCAGUGCGCCACUCGGGAGCCCUUAACUGUUCUAUGGGGCCAGAUCCAUAAUGAUUACAUUUACUUUGGAAAUGUAGUAAUUGUUGAUCAAUUGUUGUUGUUUUCUACUUUAUGUGUAUUAAGGGGGGGGGAAUCCACUUUACAAAAUAAAGAUUCUACAUAAAAUAUCGGUUUGCACUCGGCUUCCUAAACUACGGCCCACACUCUGUUCAGAGGUGCUAAGUACUCUCGGCCGUCAAACGCUGUUGGUGUGUCCGAGCCUUUAGCUCUGAUGGCUCCGAAAACUACGCCAAUGGGGUCCAGUUCAGUCAGACUACAGAACAGAUUUCAUCCUUCCCUCUCAAAUGUGUCAACUUGUCUGUAACCACCUGUGCCUUCUGAGCUGGUGGUGGGCACUUACUGACUACUGCACAA